rnacentral:rRNA from 1 species
GCCUACGGGGGGCAGCAGUGAGGAAUAUUGGUCAAUGGGCGGAAGCCUGGACCAGCCAAGUCGCGUGAGGGAAUAAGGCCCUACGGGUCGUAAACCUCUUUUGCCGGGGAGCAAGGGCCGGGACGAGUCCCGGUCCGGUGAGUACCCGGAGAAAAAGCAUCGGCUAACUCCGUGCCAGCAGCCGCGGUAAUACGGAGGAUGCGAGCGUUAUCCGGAUUUAUUGGGUUUAAAGGGUGCGUAGGCGGGCUUUUCAGUCAGCGGUAAAAAUUCGGGGCUCAACCCCGUCCGGGCGUUGAAACUGGGGG